AGACGAACGCUGGCGGCGUGCUUAAUACAUGCAAGUCGAGCGAAUCGAUGGGAGCUUGCUCCCUGAGAUUAGCGGCGGACGGGUGAGUAACACGUGGGCAACCUGCCUAUAAGACUGGGAUAACUUCGGGAAACCGGAGCUAAUACCGGAUACGUUCUUUUCUCGCAUGAGAGAAGAUGGAAAGACGGUUUACGCUGUCACUUAUAGAUGGGCCCGCGGCGCAUUAGCUAGUUGGUGAGGUAAUGGCUCACCAAGGCGACGAUGCGUAGCCGACCUGAGAGGGUGAUCGGCCACACUGGGACUGAGACACGGCCCAGACUCCUACGGGAGGCAGCAGUAGGGAAUCUUCCGCAAUGGACGAAAGUCUGACGGAGCAACGCCGCGUGAACGAAGAAGGCCUUCGGGUCGUAAAGUUCUGUUGUUAGGGAAGAACAAGUACCAGAGUAACUGCUGGUACCUUGACGGUACCUAACCAGAAAGCCACGGCUAACUACGUGCCAGCAGCCGCGGUAAUACGUAGGUGGCAAGCGUUGUCCGGAAUUAUUGGGCGUAAAGCGCGCGCAGGUGGUUCCUUAAGUCUGAUGUGAAAGCCCACGGCUCAACCGUGGAGGGUCAUUGGAAACUGGGGAACUUGAGUGCAGAAGAGGAAAGUGGAAUUCCAAGUGUAGCGGUGAAAUGCGUAGAGAUUUGGAGGAACACCAGUGGCGAAGGCGACUUUCUGGUCUGUAACUGACACUGAGGCGCGAAAGCGUGGGGAGCAAACAAGAGUAGAUACCCUGGUAGUCCACGCCCGUAAACGAUGAGUGCUAAAUGUUAGGAGGGUUGCCGCCCUUAACUGCUGCAGCUAACGCAUUAAACAACUCCGCC
rnacentral:rRNA from 1 species